rnacentral:rRNA from 1 species
GAUGAACGCUGGCGGCGUGCUUAAUACAUGCAAGUCGAGCGGACAGACGAGGAGUUUGUUCCUUUCACGUUAGCCGCGCACGGGUGAGAAACACGUGGAUAACCUCCUUAAAAGUCGGGGAUAACUUCGGGAAACGGGAGAAAACACGAGAGAAUAUCUUGAACCGUAGUGUUCAAUAGUGAAUGACGGCGUUGCGGUCACUACUAGAUGGAUCCCCGCCGUUUUGGGUAGUUGGUACGUUAACGGCCUACCAAGGCAACGAUGCGUAGCCGACUUGACAGGGUGGUCGGCCACACUGGAACGGGAACGGGGUCCAGACGCCUGCGGGAGGCAGCAGUAGGGAAUGUGCCGCAAUGGGCGAAAGCCUGACGGAGCAACGCCGCGUGAGUUAUGACGGUCUUCGGAUCGUGAAACUCUGUUAUUAGGGAAGAACAACUGUGUAAGUAACUAUGCACGUCUUGACGGUAACUAAUCAGAAAGCCACGGCUAACUACGUG